rnacentral:lncRNA from 1 species
GAUGAAGCACUGAAUCUGCUACCAGGGCUCGCGGUGGUGCGAGGUUGAUGCCGGAGGCUUUGGAGUCCACGACGCACGCUCUACGUCAAAUACCUGCAAGUGGAAACUAGACGAUUCUAAUGAGACUCGCCGAGUUUCGUAGUGGUGCUCUGGUGUGAGAGUGGAACUUGAAUCGUGCCUUUGAGUGUCCCAUUGGGACCCUUUUUAUAGGGUCU